UACGUAGGGUGCAAGCGUUGUCCGGAAUUAUUGGGCGUAAAGAGCUCGUAGGCGGCUUGUCGCGUCGGCUGUGAAAACCUGGGGCUCAACCCCGGGCCUGCAGCCGAUACGGGCAAGCUAGAAUUCGGUAGGGGAGACUGGAAUUCCUGGUGUAGCGGUGAAAUGCGCAGAUAUCAGGAAGAACACCGGUGGCGAAGGCGGCUCUCUGGGCCUUACCUGACGCUGAGACGCGAAAGCGUGGGGAGCGAACAGG
rnacentral:rRNA from 1 species